ensembl:snRNA U6 U6 spliceosomal RNA
CUGCUCGCUUUGGCAGCACAUAUACUAAAAUUGGAACGAUACAGAGAAGAUUAGCAUGGCCCCUGCACACGGAUGACACACAAAUUUGUGGAGCAUUCCAUAUUUUU